rnacentral:rRNA from 1 species
CAGCAGCCGCGGUAAUACGGAGGGUGCAAGCGUUAAUCGGAAUUACUGGGCGUAAAGCGCACGCAGGCGGUCUGUCAAGUCGGAUGUGAAAUCCCCGGGCUCAACCUGGGAACUGCAUUCGAAACUGGCAGGCUAGAGUCUUGUAGAGGGGGGUAGAAUUCCAGGUGUAGCGGUGAAAUGCGUAGAGAUCUGGAGGAAUACCGGUGGCGAAGGCGGCCCCCUGGACAAAGACUGACGCUCAGGUGCGAAAGCGUGGGGAGCAAACAGGAUUAGAUACCCCCGUAGCCCUGUCUCUUAUACA